UUAAUUAAACUCGAAGCAGAAGACAGGAAAUGAUAAAAAGAUGAACAAAGGAAACAAUGGACUUGAAAACAAAUUUUAUAAUAAAACAAUGAAAUAAAAAAAUUGGACUUUUGACAAGAUUAGUAAAAUCUUUACACUUCUAGUCAGACUACUAAAAAAAUAAAAAAUAAAAAAGACAUAUGAUAUUGAGACAGGUAGGAGGGAGAGGGUCCUCAGAGAAUCUCCAAGGAGCCUGCGCAAUGGGAAUGAGCACUGGGGUGGAAACACAAGUUCGUGCCCUUUGCAGUAGAGAGGAGCCGGCCCUUCCUUCACCUGUGCGGAACCUGGGAUUCACAGGCCUAGGCAGGAAGCACUCUAGCAGGAACUCUGGCCUAGUGGAGUCUCAGUCACCAUUAAAAUUGUCUGCAAGCCUGAAUUUCUGGGGCCAUGGGAUGGACAAGGACCCCAUCCUUAGCCGAACUAAGUAAAGUCCUACAACAUUUUUGGCGUGCAACGUCGGGGCUUGAGAAGCAGUGAGUGAAAUGGGGACUCAAAACCUCUCACUGUGGGUUCUAAGCCUUUCCAUCCUCGGACUUCCGAGGUUAGAGGAACCAGGCCCCCAACUCCCGUUGCGGCUGGGAGUUGGGAGAAAGGCCCUUACUGGGGACCGACCAACCAGCAGCAGCUCCCUGUCCUUACCUGCUUCAUGCUGGGGCUGGGACGCGUGGCUCAAGGGUCUUCGCAGAGCCAGCUUGCGGUCUUCUCCUUCCCCUACCCCAGCCAAGGGGUUCUACUCCAUUGGACAAUAAUUGAACUAAUCUCCAUGGUGGACGAAUCAGUUGCAUAGGAAUGAGAGGCUCUUCCUCAGGCCCAGGAACCUCAAGUUACUUUGAGACAUUGAGAAGAGUAGAAGUCAUCAAUUCAUACAG
rnacentral:lncRNA from 10 species